rnacentral:lncRNA from 1 species
UUUCCCCCACCCAUUUUCUCUUCCAAAACUAGCAAUAUUCCCCACCCUGUAGGGGGGGCCUUUUUUCCGAAUUUCAUUUUGUUUUCUCUCCGACCUUUUUAACUUCUGUAUAGUUCUCCUCGCUGAGGCUUCUUCUAUUGGAUAAUCUGUAUACAUAUGUACUCCGUUCUUGCAUGAUAAAUUUAGAGGCAAUAUUAUAAGCCCUCUGCUACUUUCACUUCCCUAUUUCCCAGACAAAUCUUUUAAAACUUUUGUUUUUGAAUCUGUUUUGCUUUUCCUCUGCUCUUUUCUGCCUUGAUCGAAUCUCAUCCUUUCUGUUCAACUCUCUCAUCCUUUCUUUUCGACUCCUACCUUGGUUAUCCUGUUUCUUGAUCUGCUUCUCUGUAUUUCUGUGAAAUCUGCCAGCGAUCGCGUAGCAAUCGAUGAAUUCUACUUCCUCCAGCCCCCAAAAGACGCAGAAGGCCGUCCCGCAAAGAAGGGGCCAGAUCAAAGCUCAAAUAUUUGCGAGCUGGGCCGAGAAGUUGUCUUCUGUUGCCUCAAAAGCAGGGGAAGCAAUCAGCAAUCUCAUAAAGUCAGGGAAUGAUGGUGUCAGAAGCCCCGCCUCUACAACUCCACCGCCAAGUGACUACACUUCUGACGGUUCUUCUGGUCAGGCUUGAAACAUGACAGCAUUUUCUUGUUUGAUCUCUAGUCUAGUGCUUUCAGUUGUGUGUUAUUUGUAGUUCAGGAUGCAGCCUUUUUUCCCUUUGUAUUUUUGGAAUAAGGAAAUAGGCAGUCCACAAGGAACAGAUGCUCUUGAACUCUGUUGAUUUUGAUCCAGGCAAGAGCACCUGUUUUCUUCUGUUUGGUUUAGUCCUGUGGUUGUGUGAAUAUGUAGUUUGCAGUUACUGCAGCUUUGUUUUUAUGAGCUGCUAACUGCACUGUUAUUGACUCUCUUCCUCUGUUGUCUCCGUGUUUUAUUGUGGAGAUGGUGGUCUUGGAAGCGGGUUUAUGUUUGUAGUAGUGUUUUCUGGUUUUCAUUUCAAUAAUAGUUGUCCCCAACAGCAAGACAGAAACGAAACCAUAUCCAUUUUAUCUUUCAUAUCCAUUUCUGCUCAGGUGGACUUGUUCAAGUUUUGUUUGGCUCAUUUCUUGUCUUGUUCAUCAGAUAUCCGACGACGAAUGAAGUUCCUUUGCCUCUGGCGCAAUUAAUAUAUCUGAUGCUGUCUUCCAUACGAACAAAAACUUGGCCCUUAAAUUAAUCCAGGAUCAACAACCGAAUCUUCCCU